rnacentral:rRNA from 1 species
UACGAAGGGUGCAAGCGUUAAUCGGAAUUACUGGGCGUAAAGCGUGCGUAGGCGGUUUCUUAAGUCUGCUGUGAAAGCCCCGGGCUCAACCUGGGAAUGGCGGUGGAUACUGAGAAGCUGGAGUACGGUAGAGGAAGGUGGAAUUCCCGGUGUAGCGGUGAAAUGCGUAGAGAUCGGGAGGAACAUCAGUGGCGAAGGCGGCCUUCUGGACCAGUACUGACGCUGAGGCACGAAAGCGUGGGGAGCGAACCGG